rnacentral:sRNA from 1 species
AGAUAGAUAGAUAGAGAGGGAUGGAUGGAUGGACAGAUGGACAGGCAGAUAAAUGGAUAGACAGACAUGUGUAUAAGAAGAUAUUGGUUUAAAAUAUUGUGAAAUGCAUAUGAAUCUUCAAAAAUUGUCAAUUUUUAUUUUUUCAACAUAAGGUUCCUUAUGGAAAAGGUAGCAUGGAGACUUCUUUAACACUGAGAACCUUAGAACUGAAUAGACACAAAAUCACAAGGAACUUUAAAUUGUAAUGUGAUUUCCUGACAUAGAAUCAGAAACCUUCACACACUUCUGUGAAGCCAGACAUCUUUGAAGGAUACAGAGGACACACAGCUAUCAAUAUAUACAGCAUCUUUAGGUAUCUGGAUCCAACCAUCAGGAGCUCUAAGCACUGACCCGCAAUGGCUGCCUGCCUCAGUUUGCACACCAGAUGGAUGCCAAUGCUGGUCUCUGUCAGGAAAGUACACAGAUUUCCUAAUGGUGCUUUCAACAUUAGUUCCUAUUAGAGUAUGUAACUGAAGAGGUAUCAGAGAUAACUCUUAUGUUUCUUUAACGUGAUAGAUGUUCCUCAUAUUUUUCUAAAUUUAGAAAUAUCUUGAACAUUGUGCCAUGUAAAGUAUUGAUUAUCGUUCAUGUGCAUGUUUUAACUUCUGCGAUUUAUUUAUUGACUUUUAAAGCUUCUAAUUUCAACACUAACUUCCAAACGGCAACAGAAGAAAAGUAAAACAACAUUAGGGGCAGAAGAAUAAUUUGGAUCAUGUGCGUUGGAAUAGAGGUACUGAACAGAACCACUCGAGUGGGAAGGGCCCAGGUCACCAUCAAGGAGACUAAAGCUGGGGUAGGAAGAGCAUGAGAAAGUCUCAGAGGUAUUGGGCCUGUACUGGGAAGAUCUUUUCAGAUACCCCUGGAAUGCUCUGAACUCACAGGCGGGGGAUUUACAAGUGGGACUCUUUAUCCUGGUAGCUAGAUGUGGAAAUGGCACUUCCAAGUCCUAUUUGGGGAUGGCUUGCCCAGGGAGCUUGGCUCAGUGGAGUGUAGAAUGAAUGCCAACAUUAACAAUAAUUCUGGUGGAAGUGCAAAUGUCUGCAUCAAGUUCUCAAAAAAUCCUUUUAUGGUCCAUCUGUUUGGACACACCCUGGUUCCAAACCUUGUUUUGCCUCAGGACCCACAUUCUUAGAAACUUGCUAGCUUGCUGAAGACUUGGCCUGCUUCUGCCUUCUUUUCUGCAACACUGACUGGAUGCUAAGAUUCACUCUUUGGCACUGUGACAUUUGAGCCUUUGCAAAAUAUAUUAUGUUUAUUCACGCGC